UAGUAGAUUUCGAAACAGCUGUUCGUAGAUGGUUGAAUAUGGCUACGUUGUGGAAGUUUUCUACUAGAAUUUUGCAGUUUAUAGUAAGAUCGCGUAGUGCUAAACAAUGCUUUGUAACAUUUAGAGAUAAGAAAAGUGUGGGAGUGAUAUCUGCGACAUGUAUGUGUGCGGCAGGAGGAGGAUUACUACUUUACGUUACGCAUAUUCUUGGUAAACAUAGUACUGUGCACGCCUUCAAACCGAAACAGAUGGAUGAUGAACUCGUGCGCGCUGUGAAGCUGACGUCCAGGGAGAGACGCUUCAUCAAGUUUGCGUCUGUCGAGUAUGACGGCCAGCUCUACAUGACGCCCCAAGACUUCCUGGAGUCCGUCGUGGAACAAGAACCUCGACCUCGUCUUAAACGCCGCCAGCUUUCUAACAAAGAUUUGGAUAUGAUCCGUGACUCUACCCCUGCUCUCAGCCAGGGUUCCACUCAGAUGUUUCGUAAUCUCCGAGACAAAGGCAUCGUAUCCUACACAGAGUACCUGUUUCUGCUCUCAAUCCUGACGAAGCCACAAACUGGAUUCCGUAUUGCCUUCAAUAUGUUUGAUACGGAUGGUAACCAACGUGUUGACAAGAACGAGUUCCUGGUGAUCCGUCGCUUGAUGGGAGGAAAGCUGAUGUACGACCGAGAGACUGAUGAGGCAACCCGCCAAGUUUUGAUGAAGCUGGUGGCCCGCUCAGUCCUAGUGAUUUAUCCUGACAAGAAACAAAAGCAGCAAGAAUUAGAAGCCAAGAAAAAAUCAUCGCCCACAUUUAUGGAGAAGAUAUUUAGUCAUGCUUGGAAGGGUAAGCAUGGGGUACCAGAGGUUGUGUCUAGAGAAGAGGACAAGAAGAAACAGCCCGUUGUGGAUGACUAUGUGGACGAUGAACAGGGACUGCAGAGAAAGCACAUGGUGGACACCACACUCAUUGUUCACUUCUUUGGAAAGAAGGGGAAAGCUGAACUUCGCUUUGAGGGGUUCAGAAGGUUUAUGGAGAAUCUUCAAACAGAAGUAUUGGAAUUAGAAUUUCAUGAGUUUUCUAAAGGGCAUGACACCAUUACUGAAGUUGACUUUGCCAAGAUACUACUACGCUACACUUAUCUCAACACAAAUGAAUAUGACAUGUACCUGGAUCGCCUGCUAGACAGAAUCAAGGAGGAGAAAGGAAUUACAUUUGAAGAGUUCAGAGUAUUUUGUCAAUUUCUUAAUAACCUGGAGGACUUUGCUAUUGCUAUGAGAAUGUACACACUUGCAGAUCAUCCUAUCUCCAAAGACGAAUUCAUUCGUGCAGUGAAGAUUUGCACUGGAACCAACUUGAGCCACCACCUGGUGCGUACUGUGUUCCAGAUCUUUGAUGAAGAUGGAGAUGGACAGCUGAGCUACAGAGAGUUCAUUGCAAUUAUGAAAGACAGAAUACACAGGGGCUUCAAGUCAUAUGCCAAGAAUGAAGGCUGGGAUGCUUUCAAAUCAUGUGUGAAACAAGAAAUGAAGACACCAGUGUAACAAAAAACAGUUUAGAAAGGAAUGAUGCUGGGUGAAAUUUAUGCUUUGCUUGGGGUAUUACACUAAUGUGAUAUUGUCUCCUGGUUUUACUGCCUUGAGGACCAACACACAGAUGGAUGUUUGAAGACGUCUGUAACUCCUGUUUGACCCUCACUGUUUGAUGCUUCAGUUUCUUCUUCUUCAAUGGCGUCACCGGAUAAUGAACUGUGCCGUUCACCCACUUGGUCCACGGAUUGGCUGAUAAUGGUUAUGGUGACUAGAAAAGGGACGUGAAAUUUUAAAAUGUGUCAAUGCUAAAAUUCAUCAACUAAAUGUCUGUAAAAUGAGGAAUUAGUUAACUAAUUUCAUACUUUUUUCCUCUUGUCAAAUUUCUCAAAGUAAAUAAUGUUAAAAAAUUC